rnacentral:rRNA from 1 species
UACGGGGGGGGCAAGCGUUGUUCGGAAUUACUGGGCGUAAAGGGCUCGUAGGCGGCCAACUAAGUCAGACGUGAAAUCCCUCGGCUUAACCGGGGAACUGCGUCUGAUACUGGAUGGCUUGAGUUUGGGAGAGGGAUGCGGAAUUCCAGAUGUAGCGGUGAAAUGCGUAGAUAUCUGGAGGAACACCGGUGGCGAAGGCGGCAUCCUGGACCAACACUGACGCUGAGUGAGCGAAAGCCAGGGGAGCAAACGGG